CGUCCGUCUAGUGUAAACUAUUUCAAACAUCUUCUUCUCUGAAACUGCUGAACCAAUUCCAACCAAACGUAAGCUGAAUGAUCCUUAGGGUAUCUAGAAUAAAGUAUGUGUUUUAUUUUUUGUUUCGUCAAAAACAUGACCACCAUGGCUAAAAAUAGAACAUAGGGGCAAAAUGCAGUUUUGUUUAUAUCUCAAAAACCAAAGCAGUUAGACAAAUCUGACGCGGGAUAAAGUGUUCAUAAGGUAAAGUUCUACACCUUUAAAAAUUUCAGAUGAAUUUAAUAACCCAUUGUUGAGUUGCUGCCACUAAAUUGUAAUUUUAAGGAAA
rnacentral:lncRNA from 1 species